ensembl:lncRNA novel transcript
CAAUGUUGGGGUCAGAGAGUGUAGAGAGUGGUGUGGGGAGAGUGCAGGCUGAAGAGUUACCUAAGGUCAAAAUCCUGACCUAUGAGCCAAGCCAUCGAUUUGGGAUUUCUACUGAGGACACUGGAAGUCACUAAGAGCAUCUGAAUGAAAGAAAAUAAAAGAGACUGAGAAACCACAGAAAUAAAGAAGCGCUGAUGACAAUGCCUGCUUGCUGAUGGUUACGAUGAUCAUAGCAGUGUGCAUUUUGUAUGCAUGAAGCCUGCGACUAAAUAAACGUGUGGGGAAAUAUUUGUAAGGAAAUAAGCUAUUAAUAAAAUAAGCUAAAAUCACA